CCCCCCCCCCCCCCCCCCCCAGGCCCUAGGUCGUGCUGGAGGACGCUUCGGACCGGACGUGGUUUAUGGUCUCAGCCUUGUCUCUCUGAUGAACGUUAUUUUGCACAUUUCGUUUUUUUCACUCACGUACAUUCACAACCUCAACGUCUAAGAUCAGGUUCUGCUCCAACCUGAGGACACGUCCCCACAUGUCUUCAGGACAGAGAGGACAGAACUCUACUGAGGGGACAGAACUCUACUGAGGGGACAGAACUCUACUGAGGGGUCAGAACUCUGCUGAGAGGACAGAACUCUAGUGAGAGGACAGAACUCUACUGAGAGGACAGAAGAGGACAGAACUCUACUGAGAGGACAGAACUCUACUGAGGGGACAGAACUCUACUGAGAGGACAGAACUCUACUGAGGGGACAGAACUCUACUGAGAGGACAGAACUCUACUGAGGGGACAGAACUCUACUGAGAGGACAGAACUCUACUGAGAGGACAGAACUCUACUGAGAGGACAGAACUCUACUUAGGGGUCAGAACUCUACUGAGGGGACAGAGAGGACACGUCUCCACUAAUGAGAGGACAGAGCUCUACUGAGGGGACAUGUCUUCAGGAGAGAGAGGACAGGGGAGGGUACUCUAUUGAAGACAUCUCAUUAGUGAGGACCUGUCCUCUCUGUCCCCAGUAGAGUUCUUUCCUCUCAGCAGAGUUCUGUCCACUCACAGAACUCUACUGGGGACAUAUCCUCACUAAUGAGAGUCAAUGCACCAGUGGAGUUGAUGGUCUUAAUGGUUUGAGUCUGUAUCAGGGGUCCUCAUGCUGAAUAGAUAAAUGCAGUCCGUCUACCGUGCAU